GUAAAGUCUUGAGGUGCACAGGGCCUAGAGCUGGCUCUUUCUGAGAAGGUCCACGCUGCGUCAUGCAGAAGCUUAGAUUGAAAAGCAUCCUUUCUCACCUCACUGUCAGAAAUGACCCAGAUUGGUUCUGAAACCUGCUGCAAGGAACUGAAAACCAGCAGUUUUGCAAGAGUGAUUGAUCCUGGGCUGAAUACAAGCCUCUUGCUUCUCGGUGAGACACACGGCGAGCCAAAUCAUCGCGUCCAGGAGGAUGCUCUUGAAGGAGAUCAAAGCCAAGGCCAGAAGCAGUUGUGUGCUUUGGGACCAUCAGAGGCUUUUAUGCGCAGAUCCAUUCUCAAUGUCACGUCAGAUUACAGCUGAAAUGCAUUCUGAAUGCUGCCAGCAUAGGUUGGGAGCGCAUCAAUAACCAAUCCAGACAACAAAGCUGCAAGGUGAAUCUCGCUCUCACCACCCCAUCCCCCCUCCACUCCCCAACCCUU